GACGAACGCUGGCGGCGUGCCUAACACAUGCAAGUCGAACGGGGUAGAUUCCUUCGGGGGUCUACUUAGUGGCGAACGGGUGAGUAACGCGUGAGAAACCUGCCUCUCAGUGGGGGACAACAGUUGGAAACGACUGCUAAUACCGCAUAACACUUUAGUACCGCAUGGUACAGAAGUCAAAGCUUUAUGUGCUGAGAGAUGGUCUCGCGUCUGAUUAGCUAGAUGGCGGGGUAACGGCCCACCAUGGCGACGAUCAGUAGCCGGUCUGAGAGGAUGAACGGCCACAUUGGGACUGAGAUACGGCCCAGACUCCUACGGGAGGCAGCAGUGGGGAAUAUUAGGCACAAUGGGGGAAACCCUGAUGCAGCAACGCCGCGU
rnacentral:rRNA from 1 species